rnacentral:rRNA from 1 species
AUACGGAGGGGGCUAGCGUUGUUCGGAAUUACUGGGCGUAAAGCGCACGUAGGCGGACGAGAAAGUCAGAGGUGAAAUCCCAGGGCUCAACCCUGGAACUGCCUUUGAAACUCCUUGUCUUGAGGUCGAGAGAGGUGAGUGGAAUUCCGAGUGUAGAGGUGAAAUUCGUAGAUAUUCGGAGGAACACCAGUGGCGAAGGCGGCUCACUGGCUCGAUACUGACGCUGAGGUGCGAAAGCGGUGGGGAGC